AGUGGGUCAAAAGAGUUAAGAUCUUGUUAAUGAUGUUGAAUCAAUGCAACUCGUAACGCCUGCGAGGAGAUGAAUCAAAAACGAAGCAACACGGACCGACAUAUACACAAUGAUUACUCACUAAUCAGAGCUCAGUGGAGAUGACGACCCUAAAAAUGGCUGGCUUUAUGUUAACAAAGAGAAGACACCUAAUGGGCCAAUAUUAUAUUAGGUUUCAGACCAAUCUAAUAGACUAUAAACCUAACUAACUCGUGUAAAAGCCAAACCAAACGAAUCCGAGUUUAUUGUUGUAUGAGGAAAACACGUGUCAUUUCCUUGUCUCUCUAUUUAAUGACGUGGAACGCUGAGAAGAGAGGAAAUGUUUAUGAUAUAUAUACUAGUGUCGGUCCAGACU
rnacentral:lncRNA from 1 species